rnacentral:rRNA from 1 species
UUAUUAAAUUUUAAAAUUAAAAUAUAAUUAACUGGGGUAGUUAUUUUAGUUAAAUUAAUAUGAAUUUAAACAAAUUAAUGGUAAUUGUUCCUUUAUAUAAGGGAAUAUAUAAAUAGUUACUUUAGGGAUAACAGCAUAAUAUUUUUGGAGAGAUCUUAUUGAUAGAAAUGAUUGUGACCUCGAUGUUGAAUUAAAAAAACUUUAUAAAGCAGCAUAUAUAUAUAGUAGGUUUGUUCAACCUUUAAAAUUUUACAUGAUCUGA